rnacentral:rRNA from 1 species
UAGGGAAUAUUGCAAAAUGGGCGAAAGCCCGAUGCAGCAACGCCGCGUGGGCGAUGAAGGCCUUCGGGUCGUAAAGCCCUUUUUGAGGGGAUGAGGAAGGACAGUACCCUCAGAAUAAGCCUCGGCUAACUACGUGCCAGCAGCCGCGGUAAAACGUAGGAGGCGAGCGUUAUCCGGAUUUACUGUGCGUAAAGCGCGUGCAGGCGGAUUGGAGAGUUGGAUGUGAAAGCUCCCGGCUUAACUGGGAGAGGUCGUUCAAUACUUCCAGUCUUGAGUGCAGUAGAGGGAAGUGGAAUUCCGGGUGUAGUGGUGAAAUGCGUAGAUAUCCGGAGGAACACCAGUGGCGAAAGCGGCUUCCUGGACUGUAACUGACGCUCAGACGCGAAAGCUAGGGUAGCAAACG